UGGGGAAUAUUGGACAAUGGGGGCAACCCUGAUCCAGCAAUGCCGCGUGUGUGAAGAAGGUCUUCGGAUUGUAAAGCACUUUCGACGGGGACGAUGAUGACGGUACCCGUAGAAGAAGCCCCGGCUAACUUCGUGCCAGCAGCCGCGGUAAUACGAAGGGGGCUAGCGUUGCUCGGAAUGACUGGGCGUAAAGGGCGUGUAGGCGGUUUACACAGUCAGAUGUGAAAUCCCCGGGCUUAACCUGGGAGCUGCAUUUGAUACGUGUAGACUAGAGUGUGAGAGAGGGUUGUGGAAUUCCCAGUGUAGAGGUGAAAUUCGUAGAUAUUGGGAAGAACACCGGUGGCGAAGGCGGCAACCUGGCUCAUGACUGACGCUGAGGCGCGAAAGCGUGGGGAGCAAACAGGUU
rnacentral:rRNA from 1 species